AUUGAACGCUGGCGGCAGGCCUAACACAUGCAAGUCGAACGGUAACAGGAAGCAGCUUGCUGCUUUGCUGACGAGUGGCGGACGUGUGAGUAAUGUCUGGGAAACUGCCUGAUGGAGGGGGAUAACUACUGGAAACGGUAGCUAAUACCGCAUAACGUCGCAAGACCAAAGAGGGGGACCUUCGGGCCUCUUGCCCUCGGAUGUGCCCAGAUGGGAUUAGCUAGUAGGUGGGGUAACGGCUCACCUAGGCGACGAUCCCUAGCUGGUCUGAGAGGAUGACCAGCCACACUGGAACUGAGACACGGUCCAGACUCCUACGGGAGGCAGCAGUGGGGAAUAUUGCACAAUGGGCGCAAGCCUGAUGCAGCCAUGCCGCGUGUAUGAAGAAGGCCUUCGGGUUGUAAAGUACUUUCAGCGGGGAGGAAGGGAGUAAAGUUAAUACCUUUGCUCAUUGACGUUACCCGCAGAAGAAGCACCGGCUAACUCCGUG
rnacentral:rRNA from 1 species